rnacentral:rRNA from 1 species
UAAAAAGCUCGUAGUCGGAGGUGUGUCUCGGACGGUCGGUUCGCCGCUUGUCGGUGCUCAACUGGCCGGUCCGGACGUCCUGCCGGUGGGGCCGCGAGGCCCCGUUAUCCUUCUUUGGUCCUCUUCACCGAGUGCCUUGGUGGGCCGGCACGUUUACUUUGAACAAAUUAGAGUGCUCAAAGCAGGCCGUUGGUCGCCUGAAUACUGUGUGCAUGGAAUAAUGGAAUAGGACCUCGGUUCCAUUUUGUUGGUUUUCAGAACUCGAGGUAAUGAUUAAUAGGGACGGACGGGGGCAUUCGUAUUGCGACGUUAGAGGUGAAAUUCUUGGAUCGUCGCAAGACGAACCGAUGCGAAAGCAUUUGCCAAGAACGUUUUCGUUGAUCAAGAACGAAAGUUAGAGGUUCGAAGGCGAUCAGAUACCGCCCUAGUUCUAACCAUAAACGAUGCCAGCUAGCCAUCCGCCGAAGUUCCUUCUAUGACUCGGCGGGCAGCUUCCGGGAAACCAAAGCUCUUGGGUUCCGGGG